AUUCCAGCUCCAAGAGCGUAUAUUAAAGUUGCUGCGGUUAAAAAGCUCGUAGUUGGAUUUCAGUCUAGGAAGGUUAACUCGCCGAAAGGUUGUACGUUGAUUUUCCUCAGACUUCGUCAGAAGCUCGUGCUGCACUUAACUGUGUGGUACGAUGUUCUGACCUUUUACCUUGAGGAAAGUAGAGUGUUUCAGGCAGGCUACCCAGCUUGAAUACAUUAGCAUGGAAUAAUGAAAUGGAUCUCGGUUCGAUUUCGUUGGUUCUAGAGCUGAGGUGAUGAUCAAUAGGAGCAGGCGAAGGUAUUCGUACUUGAGAGUGAGGAGUGAAAUCCGAUGAUCUCUUAAAGACGAUCCGAGGCGAAAGCAUUUGUCAAGGAUGUUUUCAUUA
rnacentral:rRNA from 1 species